GAUGAAGAACGCAGCGAAAUGCGAUACGUAAUGUGAAUUGCAGAAUUCAGUGAAUCAUCGAGUUUUUGAACGCACAUUGCGCCCUCUGGUAUUCCGGAGGGCAUGCCUGUCCGAGCGUCAUUGCUGCCCUCAAGCACGGCUUGUGUGUUGGGCUCCGUCCCCCGAUCCCGGGGGACGGGCCCGAAAGGCAGCGGCGGCACCGCGUCCGGUCCUCGAGCGUAUGGGGCUUUGUCACCCGCUCUGUAGGCCCGGCCGGCGCUUGCCGAUCAACCAAAUUUUUAUCCAGGUUGACCUCGGAUCAGGUAGGGAUACCCGCUGAACUUAAGCAUAUCAAUAAGCGGAGGA
rnacentral:misc_RNA from 1 species